rnacentral:lncRNA from 1 species
CAGCUUCUUUCUUACAUACCUGUGUUUCAACACUCGGAUUAUCUCUCCGGCAACGUCUUCCUGGUGGUGGAAGUGGUGAACACUGAAGGCUAAGUAACAAGUUAGCAAAAUGGGACCUGGAGGGCCGGGAGGAGGGCCGGGAGGACCUGGUGGACCGGGAGGAUGGGGAGGAGGACCUGGUGGUUGGGGUCCUGGCCCCGGAGGACCUGGCGGAUUUGGGCCUGGAGGUCCUGGUUGGGGUCCGGGACCUGGAGGUCCCUGGGGCCCUGGAUUUGGAGGUCCUGGUUUUUGGCCUGGUGGGUUCUUUGGCGGCUUUGCAGAUGGUUUGUGCAAUAUGAUAUCUUCCUGGUAAGCAAUCAAAUCUUUACUCAAUUCCGGUAUAGUUAAAUGCGGUUUGAUUGAGGUUAAAUUUGAUUGGGAUUGC